AAUCGACAGAUAUACUCGUUGGCCAGAAGUAUAUCCACUAAAAGACAUUACAACAUCUAACAUGGUAGAUACGUUUAUUCGAAAUUAUAUUUCACGUUUUGGAGUUCCGUUAAAUAUAACAAGAGAUCAGGGUGGACAAUUUUUACUUCUAAAAUGUUUACUGAAUUAACGGAGAUGUUAGGAUGUUUUAAAAUCACAACUUCUCCUUAUCAUCCUCAAUCUAACGGCGUGGUUGAACGAUUUCACAGACAACAUAAAGCGAUAUUAAUGGCUAAGGUAUUUAAGGAAGAUCUACAAGCUACACCUGCGGAAAUGGUUUAUGGUCAAAAUUAAGGUUUACCUGGAGAAAUUUUGAUAUCAACUGGAGAUUUUGAUGCAUCUGACAUUUUAUACGCAAUAAAAGACCAUUUUAAAAAUGUAAGAUCCAAUAUUAAUCACCACAGUAGUGAAAAUUCAAGUAUAUAUACACCUAAAGACCUUAGAGAGUGCAAAUAUGUAUUUGUGCGUGUAAUUAAUAAAACAACUUUAAAACAACCAUAUGAGUGACCUUACAGAGUAAUUGAGAAGACUAAUAAAUAUUUUAAAGUAGAUAUCAACAAUAAAACUACAAUUUUACCUAUCGAUCGAUUAAAGCCAGCAUUAAUAGAAAACACUAACAUAAACAUUAACACAAGUAAUUCUAAACGAA